UACGUAGGGGGCAAGCGUUGUCCGGAAUCAUUGGGCGUAAAGAGCGUGUAGGCGGCCAGAUAAGUCCGCUGUGAAAUCUCGAGGCUCAACUUCGAGCUGUCGGUGGAAACUGUCUGGCUAGAGUCCGGAAGUGGAGAAUGGAACUCCUGGUGUAGCGGUGAAAUGCGCAGAUAUCAGGAAGAACACCCGUGGCGAAGGCGGCUCUCUGGGACGGUACUGACGCUGAGACGCGAAAGCGUGGGGAGCGAACAGG
rnacentral:rRNA from 1 species